GAGUAACCAUUUGGAGCUAGCCGUCGAAGGUGGGACAAAUGAUUGGGGUGAAGUCGUAACAAGGUAGCCGUAUCGGAAGGUGCGGCUGGAUCACCUCCUUUCUAAGGA
rnacentral:rRNA from 3 species